rnacentral:rRNA from 1 species
AUGUCUUUGGCGUUAUCUGGCUAUGUUGCCAUCCCGUGCUGCCCGGUGAUAUUUGAUGGGGCUAACUAUGCUGAGUUCGUUGCCUUUAUGCGCAUUCACAUGCGUGGCAUUCGUCUCUGGGGUGUUCUUUCCGGUGAGGUCCCCUGUCCUCCGCGCCCAGUGGCUCCUGUGGCUCCUACCCCACCGCCGACGCCACCGGCUCUUGACACAAAUGCUUCUGAUGCUGAUAGGGCUGCAGCCAGGGUUGCUGCUGAUGAUGCAGAUGCCGCUUAUGACCAGGAGGUCUUGGAUUAUUCAAAUGCUCUUUCUGUUUAUCGUGACGAUCUGGCUGCUUACACUCAGUGGUGUGAUGAUGAUGCUCGUGCUGCGACUGUUCUCACUUCCAGUGUUUUGCCUCAGUUUGCUUCUGAGUUUAUAGGCCUCGGUACUGUCUUUGAGAUGUGGACUCAUCUUCGUCAGCGCUAUCAGCCCUCUGGUGAUGCUUUCUACUUGUCUGUGGUCCGUCAGGAGCAUGCUCUUCAGCAGGGAGACUCCACUAUUGAUGAGUUCUACACUCAGAGUUCUGCUAUCCGGCGCCAGCUUGACUCCCUUCGCACUACUGUUUGUGGCACUUGCCCGUGUUGCCAGACUGUGAGGUCAGACUUGGAGUUUCAGCGCGUCUAUGGGUUCUUGUCACGGCUCCGUGGGGAGUUUGAGCCUCGACGUGCUCAGUUGUUUGCUCGUGGCCGUGUUCCUAUUUCUGAGGUGCUUUCUGAGCUUCGUGCUGAGGAGACUCGCCUUCAUGGUGCUGGUUUGCUUCAGGUUCCCUCUGUGCUCGCUGCUCGAGGUGCUACUCCACCAGUGUCUUCUCGCUCCAGUGCUCCGCCGCUUCUGCCCACUCCUCUGGGUAGUGAGGUCCGCUCUCGUGAAGGUCGCUCUCGUCCUCGUACUCAUUGUGACUACUGCAACAGGGAUGGUCACCCCGAGUCUGACUGCUUCAAGAAGAAGUGUGAUAUGCGUAAUAGGGAGCGCAAUUCUUCUUCUGGGACUCGUGCUUCUUCCUCGACGCUGUCUACUGUCUCCUUGACUGAGCAAGAUAUUGUGAAGCUCAAGCGACUACUUGCUGCUUCAGGUUCUUCGACAGGUACUACAGGCUCUGUGACUGGUGCUUCUAGUGUUGAGCGACCAUUGUCUACCCAGUCAGGAUCGUCACACGAAGGCUCAGGUUGGGGCUGGCCCGCGCCGCCGUGA